AUGUCGGCCCGCCACCUAAAACUCAACAUGAGCGAGACUGAGCUCCUCAUCUUCCCUCCCAAGCCCGGUCCGCUCCCAGACUUCUCCGUCACCGUGGAUGGCACGACCGUCCUUCCCGUCCCGCAGGCCCGCCAUCUCGGUGUCAUCCUUGACUCGUCCCUCUCGUUCACCCCACACAUCCUAUCCGUUACCGAGACCUGCCGGUUUCACCUCUACGAUAUCGCCGAGAUCCUCCCUUUCCUCUCCACCCAAACGGCUACCUUACUAUUACGGGCUCUCGUUAUAUCCCGGCUAGACUACCGUGUCGGCCUUCUCUCCGACCUCCCUUCCUCCUCUCUCGCCCCGCUCCGGUCUAUUCUUCACUCCGCCGCCCGGCUCAUCUUCCCGCAGAAACGAUCUGGGCAUGUCACUCCCCUCCUUAAACGACUCCGGUGGUUGCCUAUCGACCUCCGCUCCAAACAAAAACUCCUCACUCUAGGCUUCGAGGCUCUCCGUCACCUCGCCCCUUCCUACCUCUCCUCCCUUCUCUCUUUCUACCGCCCACCCCGCACGCUCCGCUCCUCCGCCGCCCGCCUCCUCGCCGUCCCUCGGUCUCGCCCGUCCCGCCGUCGACCCCCGGGUCGCGUCCUCCCGCGGUCCCGGAACGCCCUCCCUCCUCACCUCCGCCAAACUGAUUCUCUUUCCCUCUUCAAAACCUUACUUAAAAAUCACCUCCUCCAAGAGGCCUUCCCAGACCGAGCUCCUCUUCCCCCUCUACUCCCUCUGCCAUCCCCCCUUUACCUCUCCUCAGCUAAAGCCUCAUUUUCCCCUUUUCCCUCCGCUCCUCCACCUCUCCCUUCCCAUCCCCACGGCACCGUACCCGUCCGCUCAACUGUAUAUAUUUUCGUUACCCUAUUUAUUUUGUUAAUGAAUUGUACAUCGCCUCGAUUCUAUUUAGUCGCCAUCGGUUUUUACGAGAUGUUCUUCCCCUUGACGCUGUUUAGUGCCAUCGUUCUCGUCUGUCCGUCUCCCCCGAUCAGACCGUGA
rnacentral:lncRNA from 1 species